rnacentral:lncRNA from 1 species
CCCCCGGCUGCAAAAGAAGAGAACGCGCCUUUCAUUAUAAAAAUAUAAAGCGACAUUUCUAGAUGACGCCCAUCUUUAAAUAAGUGCCUUCCGUGUUUUUAAUUUAUUUUUGUUGGACAUUAAUUUUAAGGCACGCACAAAAGCGUGUCCAUUAUCCUUCAAAUUCUAGAAGAUAUGACAUUAUUUUUAGGGCGCACGCUUUUGCGUAUCGUAAAUCACCGCGUGUCAUUGUUUGCGCGUCAUUAAAGGGUUGUUUUCUAGUAGUGUAUGCCAUUUGCAUUCCAUGAAUUGUUAGUCGGUUAGUAAAGGGUUGUAUCUUGUAUAGCGAGUUCCAAGUAUUUGGUUGUUAUUUCCGAUUUUGGUCGAGAUCGGAUCAGGGGCAUUGGGUCGAAGGUCUGUGGUCAGGGUUCAGCAGGUUGGUUAUCCAGCAUCGUCAGGAUUUUUCAUCUCUACCAAAUAGAACCUGACCGCACCCCUCCCCCUUUCCCCAUCUCCAUUCUUGUUUUAAUUUUUCAUCUCUUCCUCUUCCUAAAUGAAAUCCCCACACUUCACACGAAAUCGCUUAAAGCCUAACCUUUGCCUCCCCUCUGUUGCUUUGUCGUCGGAAAACACCUCCCCUACCUUCUUCCCCAGCCACAAUUGCUCUCGUUUUCAUCUAUAGUGGUUUAGGGCUCCACCAGAAACCAAAGUUGGGAUCCUAAGAACCAUCAGAGACCUAGAUCCGUCGACGACAACAUUCAUCUAUUUUGCUAAUUUGAUGCCACCAGAGCAAACAAUUGCUCCACCACCAGCGUUACCAUGAUCCUUCUUCUCUCUUGCUCAUAUGUGAUGCCAUCUGCAAGACCUAACACAACACUCAUCAAUGCUCCAACCCACAGAUUUGCACUACAAAGCCAUCAACAACACUUUAAAAAUAAUAAUGUCGCCCAUCUAACCACCAUCAACUCUCGUUUCUCAAUUUUAUGGUGGUUGGAGUUCUGAUUUUGUCAUGAAAUCAAUGGAACAUGAUGACAAAGGUUAUGGGUUAUGUGCUUUUGGGUACUUCUUUCUCUCUUUCUCACUCUCAUCUCGUCUAUCUGUUGGAAAUGUAUGUUUUUGUUUGAUUUUUUAGUUUUGAUUGUUGGUUUGAUUGGACUAAAUUUCUAGUUUUAAAGGAUUGAUUCAGGUUUUGAUUUCAUAUUUGAUUUCCGGUUUGGAUUUCUAGUUAGGUUUAUUAGAUUUGAUGUUUUUGAGUGUAGAUUCAAUUUUUGGUUUGAUUGGGUUCAAUGUGGUUUUUUUUGGGUAUCAAAGGCAGUCGUGAUUUGAUCUGGUGGCAUAGAUGGUGGUAGUUUGCACCGGCAGGAGAGUAACCUUAUGGAAUACCAAAAGGAAUAAAAGGUGGUGUGUAACUAACUAGAAGAGAGCCCGAUUGUUUGAUGUUUUCACUGCGAUCGGAUGGGCCACAAGAAGGCCGAUUGUUCGAUGUUGAGGGGAGGAGCAAUGAGUGCGCCUGCUCUGGCUACUUUCAGGAUCACCAAUGGAAGAGAGGGUAGGGCAGAAGCCCCAAAAAGAGGAGUCGGGCUUUACAGUGUCAGACAGGGGAGGUCAGGACUCCAGCGGGCGACAUUACAGGUAUGUAUCUUUUGCUUUCUUUUCAGUUUAUAUCAGUAUUUAUGUUGUUUGGAAUCUUGCAUCGGUUUGCGUAAGUGUAUAUCUGGUUUAUUUCUCUGCUUAUGUUGGGUUAUAUCUUUAAGAAAUGUUAUAUGCCAUUUGCAUUCCAUGAAUUGUUAGUCGGUUAGUAAGGGGUUGUAUCUUGUAUAGCGAGUUCCAAGUAUUUGGUUGUUAUUUCCGAUUUUGGUCGAGAUCGGAUCAGGGGCAUUGGGUCGAAGGUCUGUGGUCAGGGUUCAGCAGGUUGGUUAUCCAGCAUCGUCAGGAUUUUUCAUCUCUACCAAAUAGAACCUGACCGCACCCCUCCCCCUUUCCCCAUCUCCAUUCUUGUUUUAAUUUUUCAUCUCUUCCUCUUCCUAAAUGAAAUCCCCACACUUCACACGAAAUCGCUUAAAGCCUAACCUUUGCCUCCCCUCUGUUGCUUUGUCGUCGGAAAACACCUCCCCUACCUUCUUCCCCAGCCACAAUUGCUCUCGUUUUCAUCUAUAGUGGUUUAGGGCUCCACCAGAAACCAAAGUUGGGAUCCUAAGAACCAUCAGAGACCUAGAUCCGUCGACGACAACAUUCAUCUAUUUUGCUAAUUUGAUGCCACCAGAGCAAACAAUUGCUCCACCACCAGCGUUACCAUGAUCCUUCUUCUCUCUUGCUCAUAUGUGAUGCCAUCUGCAAGACCUAACACAACACUCAUCAAUGCUCCAACCCACAGAUUUGCACUACAAAGCCAUCAACAACACUUUAAAAAUAAUAAUGUCGCCCAUCUAACCACCAUCAACUCUCGUUUCUCAAUUUUAUGGUGGUUGGAGUUCUGAUUUUGUCAUGAAAUCAAUGGAACAUGAUGACAAAGGUUAUGGGUUAUGUGCUUUUGGGUACUUCUUUCUCUCUUUCUCACUCUCAUCUCGUCUAUCUGUUGGAAAUGUAUGUUUUUGUUUGAUUUUUUAGUUUUGAUUGUUGGUUUGAUUGGACUAAAUUUCUAGUUUUAAAGGAUUGAUUCAGGUUUUGAUUUCAUAUUUGAUUUCCGGUUUGGAUUUCUAGUUAGGUUUAUUAGAUUUGAUGUUUUUGAGUGUAGAUUCAAUUUUUGGUUUGAUUGGGUUCAAUGUGGUUUUUUUUGGGUAUCAAAGGCAGUCGUGAUUUGAUCUGGUGGCAUAGAUGGUGGUAGUUUGCACCGGCAGGAGAGUAACCUUAUGGAAUACCAAAAGGAAUAAAAGGUGGUGUGUAACUUACUAGAAGAGAGCCCGAUUGUUUGAUGUUUUCACUGCUAUCGGAUGGGCCACAAGAAGGCCGAUUGUUCGAUGUUGAGGGGAGGAGCAAUGAGUGCGCCUGCUCUGGCUACUUUCAGGAUCACCAAUGGAAGAGAGGGUAGGGCAGAAGCCCCAAAAAGAGGAGUCGGGCUUUACAGUGUCAGACAGGGGAGGUCAGGACUCUAGCGGGCGACAUUACAGGUAUGUAUCUUUUGCUUUCUUUUCAGUUUAUAUCAGUAUUUAUGUUGUUUGGAAUCUUGCAUCGGUUUGCGUAAGUGUAUAUUUGGUUUAUUUCUCUGCUUAUGUUGGGUUAUAUCUUUAAGAAAUGUUAUAUGCCAUUUGCAUUCCAUGAAUUGUUAGUCGGUUAGUAAGGGGUUGUAUCUUGUAUAGCGAGUUCCAAGUAUUUGGUUGUUAUUUCCGAUUUUGGUCGAGAUCGGAUCAGGUGCAUUGGGUCGAAGGUCUGUGGUCUGGGUUCAGCAGGUUGGUUAUCCAGCAUCGUCAGGAUUCGGUGGUUUCAGUCAUUGUGCUUGGAUUGGCUAGUAGGGGCACCAAGGGAAGUGGUAUAUUGCCGAGGUUUUGGUCUGAGCAUCUGUUAUUUGGACUUCAAGAUUUAAGUGUAGUAUCAUUUCAAAGCAUAUUCGGG